UACGGAGGAUGCAAGCGUUAUCCGGAAUGAUUGGGCGUAAAGCGUCCGCAGGUGGCUGUGUAAGUCUGCUGUCAAAGAGCGAAGCUCAACUUCGUAAAGGCAGUGGAAACUACACGGCUAGAGUGCGUUCGGGGCAGAGGGAAUUCCCAGUGUAGCGGUGAAAUGCGUAGAGAUCAGGAAGAACACCGGUGGCGAAAGCGUUCUGCUAGACCUGUACUGACACUGAGGGACGAAAGCUAGGGGAGCGAAUGGG
rnacentral:rRNA from 1 species